GACGAACGCUGGCGGCGUGCUUAACACAUGCAAGUCGAACGGAAAGGCCCUGCUUUUGUUGGGUGCUCGAGUGGCGAACGGGUGAGUAACACGUGAGUAACCUGCCCUUUACUUUGGGAUAACUUCAGGAAACUGGGGCUAAUACCGGAUAGGAGCUCCUGCUGCAUGGUGGGGGUUGGAAAGUUUCGGCGGUUGGGGAUGGACUCGCGGCUUAUCAGCUUGUUGGUGUGGUAGUGGCUUACCAAGGCUUUGACGGGUAGCCGGCCUGAGAGGGUGACCGGCCACAUUGGGACUGAGAUACGGACCAGAAUCCUACGGGAGGCAGCAGUGGGGAAUAGUGCACAAUGGGAGGAAGCAUGAUGAAGAAAAGCAGCGUGCGGGAUGACGGCCUUCGGGUUGUAAACAGCUUUCGCAUGUGACGAAGAGUGAGUGACGGUAAUGGGUAAAGAAGCACCGGCUAACUACGUG
rnacentral:rRNA from 1 species